rnacentral:rRNA from 1 species
CAGCCGUAAACUAUGCGCGUUAGGUGUAUCGGUGACCACGAGUUACCGAGGUGCCGAAGGGAAACCGUGAAACGUGCCGCCUGGGAAGUACGGUCGCAAGGCUGAAACUUAAAGGAAUUGGCGGGGGAGCACCACAACAGGGUGGAGCCUGCGGUUUAAUUGGACUCAACGCCGGGAAGCUCACCGGAUAGGACAGCAGAAUGAUUGCCGGGCUGAAGACCCUGCAUGACUAGCUGAGAGGAGGUGCAUGGCGUCAGUGACU